rnacentral:rRNA from 1 species
GACGAACGCUGGCGGCGUGCUUAACACAUGCAAGUCUACGAGAACGAGGUAGCAAUAUCUCUAUUAAAGUGGCGCACGGGUGCGUAACACGUAAGCAAUCUACCUUUGGGUCUGGAAUAACUUCGAGAAAUCGAGGCUAAUACCGGAUAAUGCAGCGGCAUCGCAUGGUGAUGUUGUUAAAGUUUAAGUAAUGCCUAUAGAUGAGCUUGCGUCUGAUUAGCUAGUUGGUAGGGUAAAAGCCUACCAAGGCUACGAUCAGUAGCUGGUCUGAGAGGAUGAUCAGCCACACUGGAACUGAGACACGGUCCAGACUCCUACGGGAGGCAGCAGUGAGGAAUAUUGGGCAAUGCCCGCAAGGGUGACCCAGCAACGCCGCGUGGAGGAUGAAGGCCGUAAGGUUGUAAACUCCUGUUAGAGGAGAAGAACAGUACCGAUUGGAUCGGUAUUUGACUGUACCCUCAGAGAAAGCCCCGGCUAACU